AGUUUGAUCAUGGCUCAGAACGAACGCUGGCGGCAGGCUUAACACAUGCAAGUCGAACGCGUGUAGCAAUACACGAGUGGCGCACGGGUGAGUAACGCGUGGAUAUCUGCCUUUUGGUUCGGAAUAACCCCGGGAAACUGGGGCUAAUACCGGAUGGUUCCUUCGGGAUAAAGAUUUAUCGCCAAAAGAUGAGUCCGCGUCCGAUUAGCUAGUUGGUGAGGUAAUGGCUCACCAAGGCGACGAUCGGUAGCUGGUCUGAGAGGACGAUCAGCCACACUGGGACUGAGACACGGCCCAGACUCCUACGGGAGGCAGCAGUGGGGAAUAUUGGACAAUGGGGGCAACCCUGAUCCAGCCAUGCCGCGUGAGUGAUGAAGGCCUUCGGGUUGUAAAGCUCUUUUGGCGGGGACGAUGAUGACGGUACCCGCAGAAUAAGCCCCGGCUAACUUCGUGCCAGCAGCCGCGGUAAGACGAAGGGGGCUAGCGUUGUUCGGAAUUACUGGGCGUAAAGCGAGUGUAGGUGGUUGUCCAAGUUGGAUGUGAAAGCCUUGAGCUCAACUCAAGAAAUGCAUUCAGGACUGGGCGGCUAGAGGACCGGAGAGGAUAGUGGAAUUCCCAGUGUAGUGGUGAAAUACGUAGAGAUUGGGAAGAACACCAGUGGCGAAGGCGGCUAUCUGGAUGGUUUCUGACACUAAGACUCGAA
rnacentral:rRNA from 1 species